UACAGAGGGUGCAAGCGUUAAUCGGAAUUACUGGGCGUAAAGCGUGCGUAGACGGUUGCGUAAGUCAGAUGUGAAAGCCCCCGGGCUCAACCUGGGAAUUGCAUUUGAGACUGCGUAGCUAGGGUGCGGAAGAGGGAAGCGGAAUUUCCGGUGUAGCGGUGAAAUGACGUAGAUAUCGGGAGGAACAUCAGUUGCGAAGGCGGCUCUCUGGACCAGCACUGACACUGAGGCACGAAAGCGUGGGGAGCAAACAGG
rnacentral:rRNA from 1 species